UACGUAGGGCGCAAGCGUUUGUCCGGAUUUAUUGGGCGUAAAGAGCUCGUAGGCGGUUUGUCGCGUCUUCCGUGAAAACUGGGGGCUUAACUUCCAGCUUGCGGUGGAUACGGGCUGACUGGAGUGCGGCAGGGGAGACUGGAAUUCCUGGUGUAGCGGUGAAAUGCGCAGAUAUCAGGAGGAACACCGGUGGCGAAGGCGGGUCUCUGGGCCGUUACUGACGCUGAGGAGCGAAGGCCAGGGGAGCAAACGGG
rnacentral:rRNA from 1 species